rnacentral:rRNA from 1 species
AUACGAGGGGUGCUAGCGUUGUCCGGAAUCACUGGGCGUAAAGGGUCCGUAGGCGUUUUGCUAAGUUGAUUGUUAAAUCCAUCGGCUCAACCGAUGACCUGCAAUCAAAACUGGUAGAAUAGAGUUCGAGAGGGGAAAGUAGAAUUCCUGGUGUAGCGGUGACAUGCGUAGAUAUCAGGAGGAACACCGAUAGCGAAGGCAGCUUUCUGGCUCGAUACUGACGCUGAGGGACGAAAGCGUGGGGAGCAAACAGGAUUAGAAACCCCUGUAGUCC